UAAUACUUGGGCGUAAGCGCACGCAGGGGGUUUGUUAAGUCAGAUGUGAAAUCCCCGGGUANNANNUGGGAACUGCAUUUGAAACUGGCAAGCUUGAAUCUUGNAAAGGGGGGUAGAAUUCCAGGUGUAGCGGUGAAAUGCGUAGAGAUCUGGAGGAAUACCGGUGGCGAAGGCGGCCUCCCUGGACAAAGACUGACGCUCAGGUGCGAAAGCGUGGGGAGCAAACAGGAUUAGAUACCCUGGUAGUCCACGCCGUAAACGAUGUCGACUUGGAGGCUGUUCCCUUGAGGAGUGGCUUCCGGAGCUAACGCGUUAAGUCGACCGCCUGGGGAGUACGGCCGCAAGGUUAAAACUCAAAAAAAUUGACGGA
rnacentral:rRNA from 1 species